rnacentral:rRNA from 1 species
CCUACGGGUGGCAGCAGUGGGGAAUUUUGGACAAUGGGCGCAAGCCUGAUCCAGCCAUUCCGCGUGCAGGACGAAGGCCUUCGGGUUGUAAACUGCUUUUGUACGGAACGAAAAGGCUCUGGUUAAUACCUGGGGCUCAUGACGGUACCGUAAGAAUAAGCACCGGCUAACUACGUGCCAGCAGCCGCGGUAAUACGUAGGGUGCAAGCGUUAAUCGGAAUUACUGGGCGUAAAGCGUGCGCAGGCGGUGAUGUAAGACAGAUGUGAAAUCCCCGGGCUCAACCUGGGAACUGCAUUUGUGACUGCAUCGCUGGAGUGCGGCAGAGGGGGAUGGAAUUCCGCGUGUAGCAGUGAAAUGCGUAGAUAUGCGGAGGAACACCGAUGGCGAAGGCAAUCCCCUGGGCCUGCACUGACGCUCAUGCACGAAAGCGUGGGGAGCAAACAGGAUUAGAUACCCUUGUAGUC